rnacentral:lncRNA from 1 species
GACAUGGCGCUGCCGGGGGGGCCCGACCGCCUCAGCGUCAUCACCUACCUGUGGCAGCUGCGGGGGGUCCUGGACGGGGGGGCGGGCGCCCCCCCUGGUGCCCCCCUGGUGCCCCCCGGCGCCCCCCAGCCCCCGGCAGCCCCCCCAGAGGUGUCGGCGACCGGCGUCGCUGCGAAGGAUGCUGGGAGUUCGGCCAACCCUGGGGCUGCAAAGGAUGCUGGGAGCUCGGCCAACACAGAGGCUGCAAAGGAUGCUGGGAGCUCGGCCAAUGGCAUCGCUGCAAAGGCCGCUGGGAGCUCGGCCAACUUGGAGGCUGCAAAGAAUGCUGGGAGCCUGGCCAAUGGCAUCUCUGCAAAGGAUGCUGGGAACUCGGCCAACGCGGAGGCUGCAAAGGAUGCUGGGAGCUCGGCCAAUGGCAUCG